AUGAACGCUGGCGGCGUGCCUAAUACAUGCAAGUCGAGCGCACAGAUGAGGAGCUUGCUCCUCUGACGUUAGCGGCGGACGGGUGAGUAACACGUGGAUAACCUACCUAUAAGACUGGGAUAACUUCGGGAAACCGGAGCUAAUACCGGAUAAUAUAUUGAACCGCAUGGUUCAAUAGUGAAAGACGGUUUUGCUGUCACUUAUAGAUGGAUCCGCGCCGCAUUAGCUAGUUGGUAAGGUAACGGCUUACCAAGGCGACGAUGUGUAGCCGACCUGAGAGGGUGAUCGGCCACACUGGAACUGAGACACGGUCCAGACUCCUACGGGAGGCAGCAGUAGGGAAUCUUCCGCAAUGGGCGAAAGCCUGACGGAGCAACGCCGCGUGAGUGAUGAAGGUCUUCGGAUCGUAAAACUCUGUUAUUAGGGAAGAACAAAUGUGUAAGUAACUAUGCACGUCUUGACGGUACCUAAUCAGAAAGCCACGGCUAACUACGUG
rnacentral:rRNA from 1 species